rnacentral:rRNA from 1 species
UUCCAGACUCCUACGGGAGGCAGCAGUGGGGGAUAUUGCACAAUGGGGGGAACCCUGAUGCAGCGACGCCGCGUGGGUGAAGAAGCGCCUCGGCGCGUAAAGCCCUGUCAGCAGGGAAGAAAAUGACGGUACCUGAAGAAGAAGCCCCGGCUAACUACGUGCCAGCAGCCGCGGUAAUACGUAGGGGGCAAGCGUUAUCCGGAUUUACUGGGGGUAAAGGGAGCGUAGACGGCGGCGCAAGUCCGGAGUGAAAGCCCACGGGCCAACCGUGGGACUGCUCUGGAAACUGUGCGGCUUGAGUGCGGGAGGGGCAGGCGGAAUUCCUGGUGUAGCGGUGAAAUACGUAGAUAUCAGGAGGAACACCGGUGGCGAAGGCGGCCUGCUGGACUGCGACUGACGUUGAGGCCCGAAAGCGUGGGGAGCAAACAGGAUUAGAUACCCCAGUAA